rnacentral:rRNA from 1 species
ACGCUAGCUACAGGCUUAACACAUGCAAGUCGAGGGGCAGCAUGGUCUUAGCUUGCUAAGACUGAUGGCGACCGGCGCACGGGUGAGUAACGCGUAUCCAACUCCCCUUAGUAGGGAACAGACCCCGGGCGAAAGUCGGAUUAAUGCCCUAUGUUCUUCGUUGAUGACAUCAGAUAUGAAGCAAAGGCUAGCCGCUAAGGGAUGGGGAUGCGUCUGAUUAGCUUGUUGGCGGGGUAACGGCCCACCAAGGCAACGAUCAGUAGGGGUUCUGAGAGGAAGGUCCCCCACAUUGGAACUGAGACACGGUCCAAACUCCUACGGGAGGCAGCAGUGAGGAAUAUUGGUCAAUGGUCGAGAGACUGAACCAGCCAAGUAGCGUGCGGGAUGACGGCCCUAUGGGUUGUAAACCGCUUUUGCAGGGGAAUAAAGUGGCGCACGUGUGCGUUUUUGCAUGUACCCUGAGAAUAAGGACCGGCUAAUUCCGUGCC